rnacentral:rRNA from 1 species
AUUGAACGCUGGCGGCAUGCCUUACACAUGCAAGUCGAACGGCAGCACGGGAGCUUGCUCCUGGUGGCGAGUGGCGAACGGGUGAGUAAUAUAUCGGAACGUGCCCAGUAGUGGGGGAUAGCCCGGCGAAAGCCGGAUUAAUACCGCAUACGAUCUACGGAUGAAAGCGGGGGAUCGCAAGACCUCGCGCUAUUGGAGCGGCCGAUAUCUGAUUAGCUAGUUGGUGAGGUAAAGGCUCACCAAGGCGACGAUCAGUAGCUGGUCUGAGAGGACGACCAGCCCCACUGGAACUGAGACACGGUCCAGACUCCUACGGGAGGCAGCAGUGGGGAAUUUUGGACAAUGGGGGAAACCCUGAUCCAGCAAUGCCGCGUGAGUGAAGAAGGCCUUCGGGUUGUAAAGCUCUUUUGUCAGGGAAGAAACGGUUCUGGCUAAUAUCCAGAGCUAAUGACGGUACCUGAAGAAUAAGCACCGGCUAACUACGUGCCAGCCGCCGCCGUAA